rnacentral:lncRNA from 1 species
CCCAUGGCAUAUGGAGGUUCCCAGGCUAGGGGUCGAAUCGGAGCUGCAGCUGCAGGCCUACGCCACAGCCACAGCAACGCCAGAUCCUUAACCCACUGAGCAAGGCCAGGGAUUAAACCUGCAUCCUCAUGGAUACUAGUUGGGUUCAUCAACCACUGAGCCACAAAGGGAACUCCCUAAAAAUGUUACUUUUAAUUUUGAUGGCUCAUAAUUUCACAGGAUGGAAAACAUCUAAGUGCCAAUCUAAGGAACAGCCCUAAGAUGUUUGAUAGAAUAAAAGCAAGCCCAAAUAAUUAUGGCAUUUGACGUUUAUAUUUAUUUUUGCUAUUAGAACUAGACGAUAAUUUCUCUAAUUUGAUCUGUAAAUGUACAGUUUUCUUGGUCAAUAUCAUCUGUUGCUUUUAUAUAAAUAUAUGACAGUUACAUGGUGAUCACAGCAAAUCUCUGAGACGCAUAAGGCAGGCAAGGUGUUUCACAAACAAACUGUAUCUCAUUGUAAUAAAAAAAAAAAAUUCCCAAAGAGUAACUUUCAGAGUUAACAUAAUGCAACUGGUAUGUCCACGGAACACAAUUUUACCGAUGAAUUGUCUUAGAGAAAAAUGCAUUGAACAAGAUCAUGAUGUUGAUAUUUUAUGCAAAUAAAAUACUUUCCUCAUUACUUGACACAGUUACUACGUUCCUAUAAAACAUAUAUAAAUAUAUGUUCUACUUCCUAAUGUUUUAAAGGUAAAAUCACAAAGCCUUUUCUUGGCAGUUAUCCUUUGCGAUAUUUCCACAAACACUGAAACAUCUUGUGCUGUACUCGGGUGAACUGCUAGCAGAGAUCGAGUACCACGCCAGUUUCUCAUUCCACAUUUUUAUACAUUUCUUGAUGCUUUCAUAAAGGUAGUAUCUUAGAUCAUAAAGCUUGGUCAAAAGAGAAAAAUUCAAGGUUGUAGAGAAAAUGGACAUAAUGCAAGAGCAAUGUUAUAUUGGAGAGAAGGGAAAGAAACAAAAAUUGCUCUUAAGGAAUAUGACUGGAGGGGCUUCAAGAUGGUAAAAUGCUCUGUGAUAACAAAUACUUUGGUCUUGUACAAUGAAACACACUGAUUAUGCAAGAUCAGAAAUGAAAAGCCAUGUAUACAUAUCUGAUCUGCAGGUGCCACCUAUGCCACAGUUGUGGCAAUUCCAGAUUCCUCUAAUCCCUUGUGCUGUGCUGGGCGUCAACCCUCCACUUCUGCACUGACCUGAGCUGCUGCAGUCGGAUUCUUCACCCACCACACCAUAGUGGGAACUCCAGACUUGCAAAUUUUAUUCCAAGAUAAGGUGUAAAAAACCACAAAUACAGAAUUUUAAAAAUACAUGUGCAGUUAAAUGCCACUUCAAAAUUGACUGAAAAUAUCAUCUGGGCCUGGCUUCCACUUUCAUCUAUUGAUGAACUUAAUUACUAUUGUUUAUUAAGAGAGGUCUUAAUGUAGAAUUUUUCUCCUCAGUCCUAAAAGAUGAUGGACCCAAUAGCAAUUGAUAAUAAUUGCAACUUAAAAAAAAUUAACUUUCUUUUCUAUAGUGUACAUAAAUGUGGGCUGUACAAUCGUUGUGGCUACUUGUCUCUAUAUAACUGGACACACAGUCUUCCUAAAAUCUUUAUCAGGGAAUUCUCACCUCAUUCAAUUGCACACUGUACUCCACUUUAACUAAAAAAGAUGCAAGGUGGUCUUUUAAGAGAAUUUUACAGCAUCAAAAGCACACAUACACACACCUCUAUGUGUGUGCAUGCUUAAAAAUUAAAGGGAUAAAAUAAGCUUCUUUGAGACUUGCUAGAUAUUAGAAAAAUUUAGCUAGACAUUACAAAGAUAUUUUUUCUUUCAUGUAUUCCACGUUGCAUUUUAAUUAGCUAUAAAAUAGGGUUACUUCUUAACCAUUUUAACAUCAAAUAAAGUGUAUAAAAUGCUGAGCUAUGCAUUAAGCUGGUAUUUAAUUAAGUAACUAUCAGUUCUCAUAACUGUAUUCUACGUAUUGUCUUGUUUUCACAAUCAUGGACCAAGUGCAUUUCUUUCCCUAGUAAAUGUAAAUGCAUUACACUCCAUAACGUUUGGGCACAUUUACUAAAUUUUCUUAAGGAAUUCAUGAAAUUCCUGGUCAAGUCUUUAUCAAACAUAAAACAUCUUGAAUAAUUUGCCUGUAUUUAAUUUCACAAUAUUUUAGAUAGGAUGAAAUAUGCCCUUGGGUUCUUAAAUAUUUAUCUCAAAACAGACACCUACACUCAUUACUCAUUUUUGCUUUUUCUAUACGACCCUGCAUUAAGUAACAGAUAUGCAAUAGGAAUAAAACAUACAAAACAACAACAAAAAUCUAUCUCAGGAUAAUAGACUGCAAAUAUUUAAAAUGCUUUUUAAGGAGCUACCAUGUUUUGUAACAGUAGUGAGAAAACAGAAAGAUAGAUGAUAUAUAUAUAGAGAGAGAGCUGGAAUAGAGAAAUAGCAGAUAUAACUGAAGAUGUACAUGAAAACUGAAUCUAAUAAUGUAGCAGUUAACAAAGUGCAUCAACCUCCAAUUCAGGUCAGCCUCUAUUAUUUUUUUUUUAAUUAUAAGAGUAUAGCUGACUUACAGUGUUGUAUUAGUUUCAGGUAGACAGCAAAGUGAAUCAGUUAUACAUACAGCCAUUCUUUUUUCUCGUAAAGGUUAUUAUAGAAUGUUGAGUAGAUUUCCCUGUGCUAUACAGCAGGUCCUUGUUGAUUAUCUACUUAACAUACAGUAGUGUGCACAGGUUACUCUUUUUAUGGGUAAAAGGAAAGUCCAAUGAGGAAUGUUAGGAUUAGACUGACUGCACGCUGAAGAAGAGUCUUUCUUUGACCCAACUUUACUCAGGUUCCUCUGAACUCUCUUUUCAAUUACAUCCCAGUGUUUGAACUUCUGUUGGUCUCUGCAUUGUCCAGAUUUAGCAAGAAUCCUGCUCAGUCCGUCUAGCCAGAAUCCCCACGCUUGAUACCUGAUGGGGUUACUUGUUCUCCAGCAUGCCCCGUGUGUUGUCUGAUCACCUAGCCUGCCUUUAGCAAGAAUCUUGUUAGGUUGGUUUAGCCAGAAUCCUCCCUCACCCUUGAUUUUUCCUCUUAGUAAUUUUCUACUCAGUGUUCCUCCUCUUCCUUGGCUAUAACUUCCUACUUUUCCUUGUCAUAUUCAGAGUUGAGUCCAAUCUCUCUCCUCCACUGCAAAACACCGCUGAAGUGGUCCAUCUAUCUAUGGAGAGAGUCCCCCCAGAAUAAAAUCUGCCUCACAGCUAUUGUCUUAGGUCAUGCCAGAAGAACGUCCAUAAACCAUGCUUUUCAUGCAAGGGUAAAACAAGGGCACAAAUAGAGAAGCUUUACAACUAGUCAAGUACCAGUGAGGCUAUAUGCUCUCCAUCACGUUGAGAGCUGAUGUGUCAGGGGGCUGAGCAUGAUGACCACUGGAUGCUGGAUGAGAGCAUUACAACUUAAUCUUAUAUCAUUUUCAAAGAAGAAAAUGAAGAGAUCCAAUAUUAGUACUGUUUAACCUGUGAGGGAUGCUGAGGCUUUAGCUCAAUGCGUAUGCCAGAUGGUCAGUUUUGCCUACGGAGGAAGAAGACGCUUGAUGGCAGAGGAGUUUCCCAAGGCAAAGGAAUUAAGAGCAGAAAUCUUAAAACUGCAUUUGAGCUUUGAGAUUAUUGAAUAUAUUGUGGUUUCCAGGCAAGUGGUUCAGUGAAGUAAUGGAUUAGGGCAUCAGUUUCAUGGAACUAGUGCUCGUGAAAUGAACAGAUGGCUUAAAAAGAUUCCUUCCAAGAAGCCAAGGAUUAAAGACAACAUUGAUAAUUCAAGCACAAGCCCGUUCCAUCAGGUAAAUUAUAAGAUGGAACAGUCUAACUGGGUCUGGCAAGAAGGAGUUUAAAAACUGUGAAAAUAUAACAAGAUUAUUUGAAACAUAGGUAUACCUCCUAUUUUUGUUGAUAGACCUUACCCUGGGUGUAUGCUGAUUGCACAGCAUGAAAUCCUGCCUUUGUGUGAUAACUAGCCUCAGUUAUAAUGGUCACCAAAAUAAUCAUUUUUAUAAAGUGUUGAAGACUGUGGAAAAACAAUGCCAUAUAUUAAAGUCAUCUCUUUCAUUUAAAUUAAAAUACCUUUGUACUAUCCACAAAAUCACUAUUUUUAAAAUACCAUCUCUUGUGCUGUUUCUUUGACAUGAAUGUCCUCACAGAAACAUGAUAUCAGUAAGAUACAACAAUAGUUUUGGCUCAUACAUGACUUUUACUAGAAUGUUAAUGUUUUAAAAUAAUCAGGCAUCAGCUUGCUCCCAAGAAAGAGAAAGCCUUAGCAGUAGCUGAAAACCUUAAGAAGGGAACUGGAAAUCUACAGGGGGCCUGCUCCGAAUAGUGGCUUAUUCAGGAAUUACAAGACCUUCUCAACUUUCCAACAGGCUAAGGUGCAAGUGCCAUUCUAGAAACCACUGAAAAGCGUCCCCUCACUUAAAACAGUAGGUUAAUGAGAAAACUCACACCUGGGAUAAGAUUUUUCAUUUUGAUGAAAAUGGUCCCUAUUAGAAGCAAGUUCCCUUCCAUACUAACAUCUCAAAGGAAGAAGUUAAACCGAGGGUUCAAGGCUGCAAAGGCCUGUCUGACGGGAUGCU